GCCUAGAGCCCAUCUUGGGAAGCUAAAGCUGAGGCUCGCCUCCCGGCAUGCAUCGCGCCAGCCUCCUCUCCCGGCAUGCACCGCGGCAGCCCCUUCUUCAAGCGUCUCCUAGCCCAAGUCCCACUAUCUCCCCCAUGCCCUUUCUCACACGCCCCAUCCCCCACUUCCAGCCCACAUCCUAUUCUCCAGCAGCCCCCCCACACCCUUUCCCCUAGUAUGUCCUCUCUGCCAGCCCCACAAAUACCAUCCCCCAGCACAUCCCCACUCACCCCAUCCUCCAGCAUCUACCAGUCCCACACACCCAUCCCCCAGCAAAUCCAUUCCCAAUCCCAAUCCCAACCCCACACACCCCAUUCUCCAGCAUCCCACACACCCCAUCUUCCAGCAUCUACCAGCCCCAAACACCUUCAUUCCCAGACCCACAAACCUCCUCCCUAUCACUCUCCAUUCCCAUCUCCCCACCAUACACUCCAUUUCUCAGCAUAUCCAACUCCCAGACCCACAGAACGCCUGUCCCCUGCACAAAAGAGAGAGUCCUCUCAAACUGACAACCCUAUCUUGUGACGUUCCACACAACUCUUCCCUGCCAUGCCCACUCUCAACACUAUCUCCCACAUAUCAGAAAGUGACUGCUCUCCAGUCUCUAGUUAAGUGCAUAUUUUCAAGUAGACUGCCAGAGAUGCAUGUGCAAAAUCCCAGUUUGUGUGCACAUGUAACAAUAGAUUUGCAUGCAGCCAUGGGCCCAUGCAUUUAUUUAUGUUUACUUAUUUAUUUGGAUUGAAAUUCAACAUAAAAGAAUGCCUAGCUGAAACUCUAGACACCCUUGACAGUAAUUAUAAAUACAACAUGAAAAUAAUUAAGAAGGUCAAACUGGAGCAUGGGUCACUACAUAACAAUUAUUAGUCUGCAUGCAUAUUACAGAUUAGAACCUUCCAUUUCUCACAUUACCAUUAAGUCAGCUUCAGUUCUGCCAAAAAUCCACUCAGAGAAAUGGGCUAUGGAGCAUGCCUGGAAGAGCAACAGAGCUGAGCUAUUUUGGACCAAAAAGGGGAGGUUAUUCCAAAGCUGAGGAGCCCUGGAGAAUGCCCAACCAGCAGCUCCCUCCUUUUUGUAUUGAGGGGCUCCAGCUCAGAUGUCUCUACUGAUCUCAACUCCAGCACUAUGGCACGUAAAAAGAAGUAUCUCAGGGUUGCCAGGAUGGCUAUUAGCAAUCAUGUUUUAAAGCCAGGGACCACUAUGCUAGACACUCUGCUAACACAGAGGUGGACAUGGUCCCUGCCCUGAAGAGAUUACAGUCUUCCAGUCAUUCCCUGUGGUGUUGUGAACCCAGAGAGAACAAGAAGCAGCACAGGGCUUAGCUGGCAUAAAGACUGAAUUGCUUCUUACCCCAGAGAAAGGUGAUCUUUGCAGCUGAAGUCAUUAGUAGUGUAACAGGAAAUUCAUGUUGCAGAUUCUAAGAUCUUCAUGUAGCCUGAGCUGGAAACCCAAAGACAACAGCAUGUGCUACAGGAGAACCCCAAAGGGCAACAGACUGUGAACAGAAAACGUAACUGACCUCGCUGCUCUCACGUCAAGAAAUUCUUUCAACCUGACUGGUUAUGGCUACUAAGAUGGGAAAAAGUUGCUCAAUCUCGAGGCCAGCUCCUGUGAAAGUUCUGUCUCCUUCCCUAAUGAGCUUCCCCAGACUGGUCAGUGGAGUGGACAGUAACUGCGGUGGAAGGUAACAAUCAUAGGAAGAGGCAGGUUCUCAGUCAGGCAAUCAUCAGCAACUGCAAAGGGAUAGAUCUGUGGCUGUUUUCAACCACAUAUUGCACAGGCUUUCAGAAUUGCAGACCUGAUCCAAAGCCCAUUGAAAUUGCAGAGUACAUAGCAGGGCUUGUAAUUACUAGUUCUAGUAUUACCUACUGCAGCUCCUUGAAUAGAAAACAUAUGUGGAUUAGCGAGGGCUAAAGGUUCAGGCCAUCAGUCUGUAUUUAUAUACUUUGUAUAGUUCUUUCCAUCUGAGCAUCUCAGAGGGUUUUACAAACAC